rnacentral:rRNA from 1 species
AUGAUGAAAAAGACAAUGAUCAAGAUAGUGAGCGAAUUCAACAAGGAAUGCAAGAAAUGUCUCUCUUGGGGAAGAAACGUGGAGGUGUUGCUUGGAAAGAAAGGCUACGAAGCAAGAAGCAAUUUCUCUGACAAGUCCAAGAUGAGGAAAUCAAAGAGAUAUUGCUAUCAAUGUGGUGAUCCCAAUCAUUUCAUUGCUGCUUGUCCUAAUAAGGAGGGCAAGAAAGAAGAGAAGGAGAAGAGCAAGUACAAGAGGAAAUCAUUCGAUCACAAGGGCAAGCCAUACAAGCCAGACAAGCAGAAAGGUGUGGAGGCACAUCCUCGCGUCAACACGGGAGUGGAAAGUGCCGUUCAAAGAUGCAGAGGUGGUGGACUUGGACCGCUUCGGAGGCCGGUUAAUGGAUAA